rnacentral:rRNA from 1 species
CCCUUAGAUGUUCUGGGCUGCACGCGCGCUACACUGAUGCGUUCAACGAGUUAUUAUUUCCUUGCCCGACAGGGUUGGGUAAUCUUUUGAAAACGCAUCGUGAUGGGGAUAGAUUAUUGUAAUUAUUAAUCUUCAACGAGGAAUUCCUAGUAAGUGCGAAUCAUCAGUUCGCGCUGAUUACGUCCCUGCCCUUUGUACACACCGCCCGUCGCUCCUACCGAUGAGUGGUCCGGUGAAGCCUCCGGAUUGGCGCGCACCUCGGUGCCGCCGAGAAGUUGGCUAAACCUUACCAUUUAGAGGAAGGUGAAGUCGUAACA